UAUAAGGGAUUUUGAGUUUUUGCUUGCAACGUUUGACCACUCGUCUUAUUCAAAAUUUUCUGAAAUUAUUAUUUAUUUUAUUUGUGACUUACUUUAUUAUCUAUAGUACUUCAAGCACAACUUUUCGUUUUUUAUAUUUGUAAAAAAAAAAAUUGAAUAAGACGAGUGAUCAAACGUUGCAAGCAAAAACUCAAAAUCUCUUAUA
rnacentral:pre_miRNA from 1 species